UUCAUUUUUAUCUCUCUCCUAAACUAUAUCCCCCUCUCUCUCUCUCCUAACCCUCUGCCUCUCUCUCCUCUCCGAUCUCUUCUCCUCCGCCGGCGUAGGUUUGAGAACAACCGACGGUGUUACCUAAUCUCAAAUUAGGUUUUUGAUUUUUCAAUUCUUAUGAAGAGUCGGAGGUUUCAGUAAUGGAGGAGGGAGAAUCAGAGUUAUAGACGAGGCGGAGGAGGAUAUCGGCGGUGGAAGCAUUGUUGAAGUAUAUUUUUAUGGAUGCCGCGGGAAGUUAGGGUUCAGGCGAGAGGUUAGGUUUCCGAAGACGAAUUUCGAUGGCCGGCGAGCAGCGACAGAAGGAGAAGAGCUGCGAAGGAAGGAGCAGAGGUGGCGAGGAAAAAGCAAGAUCGGCGGUGGAGAUUGAGAGCCGCCGAUCUGUUGAGUGCUUGUUGGAGGCGAGAGGAGACUGAUUUUCGCUGCCGCAAAAAGUUAGGAUUGACGGCGGUGGUGGCGGCCGUUGUCGGUGGUGGUGGCCAUUGUCGCUCCUCUACUCUACUGGUGCCGUUGUCGGUGGUGAUGGCCGUUGUCGGUGGUGGUGGCCCGUUGUGUUUCACAGCCGCGAGGAGAGGAAGCGCUGCCUGUUGCUGGGUGCAAAAAUAGCAAAGAAAUAUAAUUUAAUUUCCAAAUUUGUAAUGUAAAUGUAAAUAAUUUUAUUCAUUUAUAUUAGUUAGGAUUAGAUUGGUUUUAGUUAAGAAUAAUUUCAUUUUAGUUACAUUUUUGGUAUAUCUAGUUAAGAGUAUUUUCGUUUUA